UACGUAGGGUGCAAGCGUUAAUCGGAAUUACUGGGCGUAAAGCGUGCGCAGGCGGUUUUGUAAGACUGUCGUGAAAUCCCCGGGCUCAACCUGGGAAUGGCGAUGGUGACUGCAAGGCUAGAGUUUGGCAGAGGGGGGUAGAAUUCCACGUGUAGCAGUGAAAUGCGUAGAUAUGUGGAGGAACACCGAUGGCGAAGGCAGCCCCCUGGGCCAACACUGACGCUCAGGCACGAAAGCGUGGGGAGCAAACAGG
rnacentral:rRNA from 1 species